UACGGAGGAUGCGAGCGUUAUCCGGAUUUAUUGGGUUUAAAGGGUGCGCAGGCGGCACGGCAAGCCGGCGGUCAAAUCGCGGGGCUCAACCCCGCCCAGCCGUCGGAACUGCCGGGCUAGAGUGGGCGAGAAGUGCGCGGAAUGCGUGGUGUAGCGGUGAAAUGCAUAGAUAUCACGCAGAACUCCGAUUGCGAAGGCAGCGCACCGGCGCCCUACUGACGCUCAGGCACGAAAGCGUGGGUAUCGCACAGG
rnacentral:rRNA from 1 species